rnacentral:lncRNA from 10 species
GAAGAGAGGAGGAAAGAACAGAGGGGAAGAGAAAAUGGGGAGCUGAGAGGUUAAAUGUCUGAUCCAAGAUCACAAGCAAGUAAGUGGGAUCUGGUGUACCCUCAGGAUGCUGUCUCUGAAACCCUGUGUCCUGUGAAUUUCUCUCCCCAGACACCCCCUUCCACUUCCUGCGCUCCCCUACCGUGCUGCAAGCACCCCCAUGGCAGAUUUUCAGCCUUCAGUCGGUCUCUUAGGCCAGACCCUGCAUUAUCCUGUGAUCCCCAGCUCAUGGCACAGUGUCUGACUCAUACAAGGUGUUCAAUAAAUAUUUGUUGAAUAAAUUGAACUAAACCCGAGACUUCUGACUCUAAACUCAUAGUACUGGAAUCUGUUUCAGCCAAGUCACUGGCUGCAAGAAGUAUUCUAUAUUUACUGAAGAUUACUUAGAAAACAAUGACAAAUAUUUUAAAAAUGUAAAGAGGCAAAUCUCAUGAUGCAGAGAUAAUUACAAGCUACAUUUUGAGAUAUUUCCUCCAGCUUUUCUCCCAUGAAUAUAUGUUCUAUAGACUGAGAUUAUAAAUGAUUUAACAUUGGACUCUAAACAUCUUUCCUCAUCAUUUUUUUUUUAAAUCCUCA